rnacentral:lncRNA from 1 species
AACAGGUAGUACCUUUAAGCUUCCCACAUACAAGUGCCAGAUAGUUCCUGCUGCUCUUAUUUGGAGAUAUUAAAAUUGUUUAGGGAAAGUGCUUACAACCACUGAGUCUCUUCCAAAAACUGGUGACAAGUACAGAGAGAGAAGCACUUUCUUGGGUCUUUUCUGCUGGAAUAUCUCUAAAGAUGGAAUCCAGAAAAAAAUGAUGUGAGCAGUUACCAAGUGCCUUCGCUGAUUUAACUUCAUCCUCCAGAAGUUCAUGUCUUCUUGGUAAUUGGAGUGUCUGAUGUGCAGUAUCUGUGUCACUGUGUUCCGCUAGAGGGAACAGCUGUGAUGUGUGGGGGAAAAGAAACCAUGAAAAGCCCACAGGGAUCUCUCCCAUAGCAUCCUGAC